CCAGCGCUCCCGGGGCGAGCCAGCGGCGCUGGGCGCUGCUGCGGGGCUCCCUCUGGCGGCCGCAGCCCAGCGCUGCCACAGGCGCGCAGAGCCCAAGGCUCAGCGCUCGGGUGCCCCGGCAGCCAAAUUCUCAGGUACCCAAAUGCCCAGUUUCUCAGGUACUCAGAUGCCCAGGAAGCCAAAUUUUCAGGUACUCAGAUGCCCAGUUUCUCAGGUACUCAGGUGCCCCGGCAGCCAAAUUCUCAGGUGCCCAAAUGCCCAGUUUCUCAGGUACUCAGAUGCCCAGGAAGCCAAAUUCUCAGGUACUCAGGUGCCCAGUUUCUCAGGUACUCAGGUGCCCCAGUAGCCAAAUUCUCAGGUGCCCAGGUAGCCAAAUCCUCAGGUGCCCAGUUUCUCAGGUACUCGGGUGCCCAGGUAGCCAAAUUCUCAUGCACUCAGGCGCCCA